rnacentral:rRNA from 1 species
UACGGGGGGAGCAAGCGUUGUUCGGAUUUACUGGGCGUAAAGGGCGCGUAGGCGGCGUAACAAGUCACUUGUGAAAUCUCCGGGCUUAACCCGGAGCGGCCAAGUGAUACUGUUGUGCUAGAGUGCGGAAGGGGCUACUGGAAUUCUCGGUGUAGCGGUGAAAUGCGUAGAUAUCAGGAGGAACACCGAUGGCGAAGGCAGGUCUCUGGGCCACUACUGACGCUGAGAAGCGAAAGCAUGGGGAGCGAACAGG